AAAUGAAGACUAGAACAAAAGAUUUAAUAUUUAAAUUUACUUAUUUCAUUCAAAUCAUUUUAAUUUUUUUUAAAUGUAAAAAAACAUUUAUUUACAAGAAAGACGACAAGACCCUAUUGAACUUAACUUUAGUUUUACUGGGGCAGUAAAUUAAUUAUUAUUUUAAACAAAUAAUAUAAAUAAAAAUCCAAAAUAAUUUGAAUAAUUCAGUUACCAUAGGGAUAACAGCGCAAUUAUAUUUUUAAGUUCUUAUAUAAAAAAUAGAUUACGACCUCGAUGUUGAAUUAAUAUUCUAAUUAAGGUAACCCUUAAAAAAGAGAGUCUGUUCGACUUUUAAAUAAUUACAUGAUUUGAGUUCAGACCGGUGUAAACCAGGUCGGUUUCUAUCUUCUAAAAAUACUUUUACAGUACGAAAGGACCUAAAAAUUUAAUCACAUUACUAAAUUGGCAGAUAAAUGCAUUAGAAUUAGAAUCUAAUAAAGAUUAU
rnacentral:rRNA from 1 species